GUAGGUGGCAAGCGUUGUCCGGAAUUAUUGGGCGUAAAGCGCGCGCGGGCGGUUCUUUAAGUCUGAUGUGAAAGCCCACGGCUCAACCGUGGAGGGUCAUUGGAAACUGGAGAACUUGAGUACAGAAGAGGAAAGCGGAAUUCCACGUGUAGCGGUGAAAUGCGUAGAGAUGUGGAGGAACACCAGUGGCGAAGGCGGCUUUCUGGUCUGUAACUGACGCUGAGGCGCGAAAGCGUGGGGAGCAAACAGGGAUUAGAUACCCUGGUAGUCCACGCCGUAAACGAUGAGUGCUAAGUGUUAGGGGGUUUCCCGCCCCUUAGUGCUGCAGCUAACGCAUUAAGCACUCCGCCUGGGGAGUACGCCGCAAGGCUG
rnacentral:rRNA from 1 species